AGAGUUUGAUCCUGGCUCAGAUUGAACGCUGGCGGCAGGCCUAACACAUGCAAGUCGAACGGUAGCACAGAGAGCUUGCUCUCGGGUGACGAGUGGCGGACGGGUGAGUAAUGUCUGGGAAACUGCCUGAUGGAGGGGGAUAACUACUGGAAACGGUAGCUAAUACCGCAUAACGUCGCAAGACCAAAGAGGGGGACCUUCGGGCCUCUUGCCAUCAGAUGUGCCCAGAUGGGAUUAGCUAGUAGGUGGGGUAACGGCUCACCUAGGCGACGAUCCCUAGCUGGUCUGAGAGGAUGACCAGCCACACUGGAACUGAGACACGGUCCAGACUCCUACGGGAGGCAGCAGUGGGGAAUAUUGCACAAUGGGCGCAAGCCUGAUGCAGCCAUGCCGCGUGUAUGAAGAAGGCCUUCGGGUUGUAAAGUACUUUCAGCGGGGAGGAAGGUGUUGGGUUAAUAACCGCAGCAAUGGACGUACCCGCAGAAGAGCACCG
rnacentral:rRNA from 1 species